UGCUCGUCACAUUCUUUCCUACCUUACUUUCACCGGUGUGUGAUGUGAUAGUAUGGCAGGAAAGAAUGUGAUGAGUA
rnacentral:pre_miRNA from 1 species